GGUUGGAAAGUGAAGAUAAUUUUUCUUUUAACUGGCUCCUUGAGAAAAUGCUUUGUUCUAUAUAUUAUUAGCCUUCUGUCUGCAAAACAGCAGAUUGGAUCACUCUGUUCCUCAUUGUUCCAAACACUCUGAUUGCCCUGCAGAUGCCAGCUGAUCAAUGCCCAAGCUGAACCUCUCACCAGACUAGAUUUUGACAGAGACUGUGCCACCAAGCAGGGGCUUGAGUGGGAGUCAGACUCCUCAAUGCCCCCCACAACGUACGGAUUUGAACAAGCACAGAGCUGGGGUCCCUCCAUUUUGGUCCAGUCC
rnacentral:lncRNA from 1 species